CAUUUUCUUUUUUACGGCCCCGAUCUCGCCCUCUACUUUUGUCUUAUCUGCGGCAUUAAUUAGGUCAUCUUAAUUACCGCCAUCUAUUCAUCAUUAUAGCUGCUCUCGGAACUCGCUUCGAUGCGACGGUUCGACACGACGGCCUUUUCUUCUUCUCCAAGCUUCUCAUUCCCUUUGUCUUUUCUGUUCGUUUUUGUUUCUUCCUCGUCUUCUCCGACGAAACCUCUCCUUCGCUUCUCUUUCUUCUUCUUCGUCUUCUCUUAUUUCCUUUAAUCUUCAUCUCUCAUUCACAGCUUCUACUCAUUCCAUAGUUUCUUUUCACUUCGAGUAAUGGUGCCACUCCCGCCUUUACCUAC
rnacentral:lncRNA from 1 species